CGUCCCGCCGGCGACCGGCGCACGGGUGAGUAACACGUAUGCAACCUGGCCGCCACAGGGGGAUAACCCGCGGAAACGCGGCCUAAUACCCCGUGACGCCACCGGAGGGCAUCCUCCCGGUGGCCAAAGGAGCGAUCCGGUGGCGGAUGGGCAUGCGGCGCAUUAGCUAGACGGCGGGGUGACGGCCCACCGUGGCGACGAUGCGUAGGGGUUCUGAGAGGAAGGUCCCCCACAUUGGAACUGAGACACGGUCCAAACUCCUACGGAAGGCAGCAG
rnacentral:rRNA from 1 species